rnacentral:rRNA from 1 species
AUUGAACGCUGGCGGCAUGCCUUUCACAUGCAAGUCGAACGGCAGCACGGGAGCAAUCCUGGUGGCGAGUGGCGAACGGGUGAGUAAUAUAUCGGAACGUGCCCAGUAGUGGGGGAUAGCCCGGCGAAAGCCGGAUUAAUACCGCAUACGACCUGAGGGUGAAAGCGGGGGAUCGCAAGACCUCGCGCUAUUGGAGCGGCCGAUAUCAGAUUAGCUAGUUGGUGGGGUAAAAGCCUACCAAGGCGACGAUCUGUAGCUGGUCUGUGAGGACGGCCAGCCACACUGGGACUGAGACACGGCCCAGACUCCUACGGGGGGCAGCAGUGGGGAAUUUUGGACAAUGGGCGCAAGCCUGAUCCAGCCAUGCCGCGUGCGGGAAGAAGGCCUUCGGGUUGUAAACCGCUUUUGUCAGGGAAGAAACGCGCUGAGCUAAUACCUCGGCGUAAUGACGGUACCUGAAGAAUAAGCACCGGCUAACUACGUGCCAGCAGCCGCGGUAACAC